rnacentral:lncRNA from 1 species
GGAAGAGACAGAAGGCAGCAGGGAUUUGCCCGCUUUACCCAACACCGGCACUCUGCAGCCGUGGGGCGGUUCAUGCAGGAAUCCAGAACAGCAGAAAAGUGAUAGUGUCCGAAGGAAGAAACUCUCCACCGCUGGGCAGGGGUGACACGGGCCAGCGUAGGAGAAAGGGGUGGGAAAAGUUUGCAAGCAGCAUUUUCUAACUGGGUGGUCCUUUGGGCAUCCAUGUCACAACAUUUUUAAAAAGAGAAAAGAAAAAGACACUGGUAGCUGGAAAAUCAUCCUCAAAUUCCUCUGUCUGUGCCAGUCCCCAGGCCCUGAGAGAGCACGUGCAUGGAGAAAAUUAAAAGCGACUGCUUUACACCCUGCAUUUCUUCCAGUUCAGGCCAAGCGUAAUUUUGAGGUUAAUUCUCAGUCUGUUUCUGUCGUGGGGGGGCUUCAUUUUCCUUGCAAGUGCAUUCAAGCAUGGUUCAGCCCCAGCCAGCCAGGGGAAUCCGCACCCCGCCAGGCCGGCACGGCUCGCARGGGACCCACGGAGACAUCCCUGCAAGACCCCCAGGACAGCUUCCUCCGGAAGAGACUCGCUGGAAAGGCUGAGCUGCAUUUGCUGCCGGGUUUUCCCUGGAGAAGAAAACAGGGUCCCUGGGAGCCUUCCCUGGGGGCAGGCUCUGGAAAGCCAAUUCCCGCACGAGCUCUGCGGAAGGCUCCGUGGACCCAGGUGCUCUCCGGCAGGGUGGUGCUGGUCGAGGGCCGUCUUGCCAGGAAUACGGGAAUUCCCAGCCCUGCCGGGAAAGGGGCAGCGUGAAGGGGAGCUGGCAGCCGCCGGGCUAAGCAGCCUUGCGCGCCUGGUUGCUGGUCCCAGAGUGGCGUCGCUGGCUCUGUCCUGGCAGCAGUUAUUGAUGGCAGUUUGUCCGUCUGGGACUGCCGACCUGCCCGUACGAUGGAAACACAGGAUCCUGCUACCGGCAUUGAACGUGUUAGCAGGGCACUGCCAGCCCAUGCCGAUGCUUCCAGGGGCUCCGGAUCCCUGGCUGCAGGUUAUCCCAAAGGAGGGAGCGGACACAGCGGUCCCCGGCGUGCCUUCGUGGCACCCACACGGUGGGACGCGGCUGCGGGGUCCGAGGCACAUCCGCU